rnacentral:rRNA from 1 species
AGAGUUUGAUCCUGGCUCAGAACGUACGCUGGCGGCACGCCUAACACAUGCAAGUCGAACGAAGUAGCAAUACUUAGUGGCAGACGGGUGAGUAACAUGUGGGUAUCUACCCUUUGGCCUGGAAUAACACGAGGAAACUUGUGCUAAUACCGGAUAAGUCUUUACGGAGAAAGCUUUAUGCACCAUUGGAUGAGCCCGCACUUGAUUAGUUUGUUGGUAGGGUAAUGGCCUACCAAGACUAUGAUCAAUAGCUGAUUUGAGAGGAUGAUCAGCCACAUUGGGACUGAGACACGGCCCAAACUCCUACGGGAGGCAGCAGUGGGGAAUCUUGCACAAUGGAGGAAACUCUGAUGCAGCGAUGCCC